rnacentral:rRNA from 1 species
UGUGCAAACGUUAUUCGGAUUCACUGGGCUUAAAGGGUGCGUAGGCGGCCAUGUAAGUAGGGUGUGAAAUCCCCCGGCUUAACCGGGGAACUGCGCCCUAAACUGUGUGGCUUGAGUGAGAUAGGGGUGUGUGGAACUUCCGGUGGAGCGGUGAAAUGUGUUGAUAUCGGAAGGAACGCCGGUGGCGAAAGCGACACACUGGGUCUCAACUGACACUGAGGCACGAAAGCCAGGGGAGCGAACGGG